UGGUGAAGAUCCAAGGCUUCACUGCCAAUAAAGAUUUGCACAAUUAUUCUAGGAAAAGAAACUGCAGUUUCCCAAGCAUCAUUUUAUUCUAACAAGCAGCAAUUCACACUUAGCUAAAGUAACGCAGUCGUGCUCAGAAACAAGCAA